GUCGAGCGCACUCUUCGGAGUGAGCGGCGGACGGGUUAGUAACGCGUGGGAACGUGCCCUUCUCUAAGGAAUAGCCACUGGAAACGGUGAGUAAUACCUUAUACGCCCUUCGGGGGAAAGAUUUAUCGGAGAAGGAUCGGCCCGCGUUAGAUUAGAUAGUUGGUGGGGUAACGGCCUACCAAGUCUACGAUCUAUAGCUGGUUUUAGAGGAUGAUCAGCAACACUGGGACUGAGACACGGCCCAGACUCCUACGGGAGGCAGCAGUGGGGAAUCUUGGACAAUGGGCGCAAGCCUGAUCUAGCCAUGCCGCGUGUGUGAUGAAGGCCUUAGGGUCGUAAAGCACUUUCGCCAGAGAUGAUAAUGACAGUAUCUGGUAAAGAAACCCCGGCUAACUCCGUGCCAGCAGCCGCGGUAAUACGGAGGGGGUUAGCGUUGUUCGGAAUUACUGGGCGUAAAGCGUACGUAGGCGGAUCAGAAAGUAGGGGGUGAAAUCCCGAGGCUCAACCUCGGAACUGCCUCCUAAACUCCUGGUCUUGAGUUCGAGAGAGGUGAGUGGAAUUCCAAGUGUAGAGGUGAAAUUCGUAGAUAUUUGGAGGAACACCAGUGGCGAAGGCGGCUCACUG
rnacentral:rRNA from 1 species